CUCACAUCAUGAAUUUGAUUAUCACAGGGACAAAUCAGCAUGGAUAGGUUGAGAUUACUAAAAGAAAUAAAAGAUAAUGCACAGUGCUUAACAGACAAGAACUAGCCACAACGUGCAGCCGAAAAAAAUCUACCAAAUAGAGGUAAAAAAAAAAUCUAUGGAGAACUAGACAAUCGAGGUGCUCACUAUUUUGAUGAAGUGGAUCACAAAAGCUAUCAGUGCGCACGCUGCACACAACAAGGGCAGCCAGAGCACGAGAGGACGUACGGCGAGCACGAGACUGCCUGCAGACAACACAAAAAAACGAUCAAAUCAGCAAAAUCAGAGGGGUAGAGAAUAGAUCAACCAAAGAGGAACACACAUCAGUGAAACAAAACCUCGAAUGCAACAGGAAUGGGGCAGGCACGCGUGGCCAGCGGUGGUGCUGGCGGCGCCGGCACGGGGGAGGGCUGGAGGGCGACGAAGACAAGGGGCCGGUGCCGCAGGGUCGGAGGCGAAGCCGUGGGCGCGCGUGCCGCCGUUCCUCCUUCCCUCCGCUGAUGGUUGGCGCCCGAAUCAAGCAAAGGUGCAGCUUGCGAGAUGGAGGAUAGGGGAGAUAGAGGAGGAAGAAGGAUGG
rnacentral:lncRNA from 1 species